CAGAGUCUGAGAUUGUAUGCCCAUUACUUGAACAUUGUAUUCAGACGUAACAACAUUUACUGUAUCAUGCUAUAGACUGCAGCUGCUAAGGGUUUCAUUUGUUCAUUGUUUGAAAUGUGUUUUUCACCAAUGGGAUCACAAUACCAAUGCCGUGUCUGACAACAGAGUCACCAAAACUGACGUGGUAGUUCUCGCAUAAGUGACCCUGGAUCCAGUUUCAUUCAACAUUACGGAAUGUUUCUGCCACCGAGCAAUACAACAUGUAUAAAAGAUUCUAUCUAGCUGUGACGUUGGCAUUAAUGUCCUUGACAUUGUACCUGGCUAUAACACUCAUCGCACCUUAUAUAAGAUCAUUACGUGAAUUUCAAAAUCCGCCAACGACUGAAGGUUUGGUCGAUUCCUUGACCGACACGCUGAGGGUAAUGUUGAAUAAAAAAACAGAUAUGGAAUUUUUUAAUGUCACGGCAGACUGUAGGUUUACUU
rnacentral:sRNA from 1 species